rnacentral:ncRNA from 2 species
UGCCCUUAGAUGUUCUGGG